CCAACAGUCCAUCUGGCCUCAGCUUCCUCAUGUGUAUGCUGUAAGAGAUGGAUGGUGUCAAAAGCCACAGGAAAGUUGGGGAGCUGGUGAUUCUGAAGACGGCCCAGUCAUCAUGGCUCAUGCUAGUAUUUAUGUGGGUUUUACUGUUCCUCAAUUACUGAGAGGUGCUAGCAGAAUUUUUCCCACUCACUCUGCGUUGGUGGUGUUGAGGCACUCUGCUUUUUGUUACUGCACAGUGAACAGCACAAUAAAAUCAAAGAGGAAAAUGGAUCAUUUAGAGAGGACGGCAAAUAAUUUUCGCCAGGAGGUUAGU